rnacentral:rRNA from 1 species
UACGGAGGGGGCUAGCGUUGUUCGGAAUUACUGGGCGUAAAGCGCGCGUAGGCGGACCUGCAAGUCGGGGGUGAAAGCCCGAGGCUCAACCUCGGAACUGCCUUCGAUACUGCGGGUCUCGAGUCCGGGAGAGGUGAGUGGGAUUCCUAGUGUAGAGGUGAAAUUCGUAGAUAUUAGGAAGAACACCAGUGGCGAAGGCGGCUCACUGGCCCGGUACUGACGCUGAGGCGCGAAAGCGUGGGGAGCAAACAGG